UGCAGGACGUGGGAGUGGGGAGGAACGCACACUCUGUAAACAGGAAUAGGUGCAACACCGGUCACUGAGCUGGCAAGCUAAAGUUAGCUAGUUAGUCCCAUAAAUGUACGUUCAGCCUGUUAAUUAUUUCAGUCAGAUUUUACGAAGUCAGCAUGGCAUAACAUAGUUGCUUUCGUUUUUGACCUCGACAUUUUUGCUGGAUAGGUACUGUCAUAGCUAACAUGCUGGCGCUGCUAGCUAGCUAAUGCUAACGUCGCUCAAAUCUGGAUGCAUCACUCUAUUUCCGGAGAGAGCAGCAUACUGGCCCUCCAUUUCCAACCCUGAAGCCCCCUGUCCCCAGCAGGAAAGACCAGGAAAAUGUGUUGGCAUAACUUCCUAUUGAGGAAAUAUCUGCCAACCUGCUCGGUGGGUGACAGGUAACUGUCUUUCCACCAAGCUGUUCACUUCCUAGAGUGGCACGCUGGAACUUCCAGAGGCUUGUAGACCUGAAGCAGUGUGAUGUGGUCCAGCUGAACCACAGUCUUCAGAGCUGUAGUCGUCUGCCCCUGCAUCUGCUACCCCGGCCACGACAGGUGAUACAGAUCUGCCACCCCCCCAGGUCAGCUGCAGUCACAGCAAUCCUCUGCUGUGGUAUUUAAUUUACCAGCUGCACCAGUUCCUACUACAUUGGCCGUGAAGGGAGAAACUUUUGAGGAUUCCUAGAUGGAUGCAGACAGACAGCCUCACCCAGAAGUGCAUACACUGGGUCUAUCAAGACUGACAAGCAGAGAUGGGUGGCUGACAAGGAAAAAUAAAACAACAUGCCCUCACACACAUUAUCCACAUUGUAAAUACGUUGUAAUUACUUGUUUAUUUUAAUCUUUGCUUCCAUUUUAUUUUAGGAUUGGAGAUAUCUACUCCUACAUGUCCAUUCUCAAUAUCUACAUAAUUACUCUAAAUAUCUAUCAAAUCAGUGUAAUUGACAAUAUUGUAAAAGACUGUGGCUUAAUGUGUACAGUUAGAGGAAAUUCUGUGUGCUUUUUUCUGAAUUGAAAAACAUGUCUCUCUCACACACACACAUUGUGUCUAAUUUAAAUAAAUUGCAAUAACUUUAUUUUAUGUAUGCUCCAUUUUAUUUGAGGAAAAUAUCUGCAAUAAAGUACAUUCACAGUUAAAGCAA